CAGAAAUCUCGUGUGGAAUAAAAGGGUAAAAGCUCGUUUGAUUCUGAUUUCCAGUACGAAUACGAACCGUGAAAACGUGGCCUAUCGAUCAUUUAGACCUUCGGAAUUUGAAGCUAGAGGUGUCAGAAAAGUUACCACAAGGAUAACUGGUUUGUGGUAGCCAAGCGUUCAUAACGACGUUGCUUUUUGAUCCUUUGAUGUCGGCUCUUCCUAUCAUUGUGAAGUAGAAUUCACCAAGUGUUGGAUUGUUCACCCACCAAUAGGGAACGU
rnacentral:ncRNA from 1 species